CAAUGAUCAUAUGAUGUAUUUCCCCACCCUAUCGGUUUGAUUGCUGGGGAUGAUGGCAUCAGUUUUGUAUUAGCUCUCUCUGUUUGUUC